GCCGAGCGGGAGCACAAAGAAGAGCAGCCCAAAGAUCUCCGGGUGCGGAGGUCACAGUCCACUCAGGAGCAUUCACUGGUCCCUUGACUCGUGAGGCGUGAGUCCACCCUCUUUCGGCCGUCCGGACUGCUGUGUCUGUGGUUAAGAGAAUGAUAAAAGGUCCCUCCCAGCGAGGGGUUAAUGAGGAUUCUUUCCAUGUUUUAAUUAAUACCCAAUCACCAGGCUGAAACUUAUGUAUUGUCAUAUCUAAAGGGGGUCUCUGUGCUACCAUCCCCUUCUUUCUCAAUUCUUUUCUCCUUUUCAUUAAUUCAACAAUGUAUUCUCUUAAAAGGACUUCUUCUGGUUUUGGAUUUUCUAUUGGAGUCCCAAAAUCAUAAGGCAUUCCAUACAUCAUUUCAAAAGGAGAAAUUCCUGUAUCUGUUCGUGGCUGGGUUCGAAUAUGUAACAAGGCUAAGGGUAAACACUUUACCCAAUUCAUUCUUGUCUCUAUCAUUAAUUUGAUCAAAUGCUUCUUUAUUUCUCCGUUCAUUUUUUCUACUCUACCAGAACUUUGUGGAUGCCAGGGGGUAUGAUAUUCCCACUUGGUUCCAAAAAGUUCUGUUACUUCUUUAAUUAUUUUGGAGGUAAAGUGUGUUCCCCUGUCCGAGUCCACUACUGCCACAAUACCAUAUCUUGGGAUAAUUUCUUCCAGUAAAAUUUUGAUUACUGUUUUAGCCGUACACCAUGCAACAGGAAAAGCUUCAACAAAAUGAGUAAGAUGAUCGACUAAAACUAAUAAAUAUUGAUAUCUCCCUACCUUUGGUAAUUCAGUAAAGUCUGCCUGUAUCUUUUCAAAAGGUCUUUUAGCUAGUUCUCGUCCUCCUUGAACUUUUUCCCUCAAUUGUCUUUUAUUUACUUUUUGACAAGUUAAACAUCCUUCAAGAAUUCUUUUUGCUAUUCCAUAAGCUCCCACACAGGCAAAUUUGUUCUCAAAUUGAUCUACUAAAGCCUGUGUUCCUCAGUGUGUCUGCUCAUGCAGUUUCCUCAUUAUUUUCUGAGCAAGACCAUUCAGAAGUACUUCACGACCGUCUGGUAAUAACCAUUUAUUGUUUUCUUCUUUUGCUCCAGAUUGUCACAGUUUCUCUUUCUCCUGUUCACUGAAACUUUUUGGGACAUCUAUGUCCUCCUGUUCUGAACUGGCCAUCACUAAUAAAGCUGCCCUCUUUGCUUCCUCAUCUGCUAAAUUAUUUCCUCUGACAGUAACUUUCAGUCCCUUUUGGUGUCCCUUAAGAUACACAAUUGCAAUCUGCUUUGGUUUUCUCAGGGCUUUUAAAAUUUCCCGAAUUAGAGUUUCAUGAAUAAGUCCCUUACCUUGUGUAUUAAUCAGUCCUCUUUCCUCCCAUAUCUUGCCGAAAGUAUGAACUAUCCCAAAUGCAUACUUAGAAUCUGUAAAUAUAGUGCCUGCCUUUCCGUCUAAUAGCUGUAAUGCUCUCAACAGCGCAUAUAAUUCACAAGCCUGAGCUGACCACGCCUUGUCUAAGGGUCCGGACUCCUGGACUUGAAAAGUCACUCCGUCUAUUACUGCGUAUCCUGACUUUCGAUUUCCAUUAACCACUCUAAACAAACCAUCGAUGUAUAAUUUCUCUCCUUCACUCAACUCCUCUUCCUAUAAAUCUUCCCUAAUUUUUGUCUGAAGAUUUAUUACUUGUAGACAAUCAUGUACCAGAUCUCCCUUGGGCUCUCCAUAUAAGCAGUGGGCUGGGUUUUGUAGAUUUGUCACUUCUAGCUCCAGUUUGGGUGAGUGUAACAAGAUGCUUUCGUACUUUAGCAACCGACUAUCUGUUAGCCAUUUCUCAGCUCUCUGCUGCAGCACUCCCCUUAUGUUGUGAGGGGUGAAAACUUUUAAUUCUCCUCCAAAGGUUACUUUUAUAGCUUCCUCAACUAACAAAGCCAUAGCUUGCAGACAGGUUGGCCAUCCCCUACUUACUGGGUCUAAUAAUUUAGAAUAAUAUCCAACUGGUUUCCUCUGUCCGACCCACGUCUGAGUUAAGACUCCAUAGGCCGUGCCAUUCUCAGUAUUUACAAAUAGAUAGAAAGGUUUCUGAUUAUCUGGCAAACUCAGCACACAGGUGCAUUCACCAAAUCCUCCUUUAACUUUUCUAAUUGUUCCUCGUCUUUGUCACUCCACUUUACCAACCCAUCUUUUGUCAAUUUUUCAUAUAAAAAUUUAACUUUACUACUAUAAUUUUCAAUCCAUUGUCAGCACUACCCGAAUAAGCCCAAGAGUUGCCUAAUUUGUCUUUUAGUUUUGGGCAUAGGUAAUGACAAAAUUCCAUUUACUCGAUCGGGGUCUAAUCUCUUGUGUCCUCUACUUAGCCAGUGUCCUAAAUGCUUAACUUCCUCCUCUGUAAAUUGCAGCUUAGACUUUGACACUUUCAAGCCUUUUAAACUUAGAAAAUUCAGGAGUCGAAUGCUUUCGUCUCUGACAGCUUCUGACUUUUCUCCAGUCACUAACAAGUCAUCUAUGUAUUGGAUUAGAACAGUACCGUGGUGGGGUUCAAAAGAUUCUAGCAACUGCUCUAAAGCUUGUCCAAAUAAGUUAGGGGACUCUGUAAAUCCCUGAGGCAGGAUGGUCCACCUAAGCUGCUGCUUUCUAUGAGAGUCAGGGUCUUCCCAUUCAAAAGCAAAAUAAUCUGUCCUCUUUAAGAGGGCAGACCCAAAAAGCAUCCUUCAAAUCAAUUGCGCUAUACCAUUUGUGUUCAGGGGAUAGCUGAUUUAAUAAAGUAUAGGGAUUGGCCACUACUGGGAACCGAGUAAUCGUCCGUUUGUUUACUUCUCUUGGAUCUUGCACCAAUCGAUAAGACCCAUCAGGUUUCUUUACUGGCAAGAUGGGUGUAUUAUGUGGUGACAUCCAUGGUUCCAGCAAUCCCUGCAUUAGGAGCCGUUCUAUAGUGGGCUUAAGUCCAACUCUUCCUUCAUGAGGGAUAGGAUAUUGCUUUACCCUUAUUGGCUCCCCUGGAUUUCGAAUAGAGACUUCAAAUGGUUUUAUAUCUAAUUUUCCCACAGAAUCAGGGGUAUACCACACUUCAGGAUUUAUUCUUUUUUCAUCUUCCGCUGUAAGGGAAUAUAUUUUAACUUGUAUUUUCUGCUCUUUCACUUCUAAAUUUAUUCCCAACUCUAUUAUCAAAUCUCUCCCUAAUAAAUUAUAUUCAGCCUCAGGGGCCAGCAAAAAUGUUCCUAAUGCAUAUUUAUUUUGGGCUUCUAUUUCCACAUCUUUAAUUAGGGGUAUUUUAAAAGGUUCUCCUUUAGCUCCUACCACUUGGACUGUGUCAGAGGAGGUCAUACAACCCCAAGGUAGUUUUCGGACAGUAGAUCUUUCUGCCCCCGAGUCCACUAGGAACUCGAGUUCUUGUUGCUGGGGACCUAUUUUAAGUUUUAUCAAGGGCUCGGUGUUCUUUUGUGUCCCCAGCAGAUAGAGCCCCUGACACCUUCAGUCUUCUUUAAAAAUCUGCUCAUCCUGCAGUCUUUUUCUGCAGUUUCUUUUUAUAUGUCCUUUUUGCCCACAAUAGUAAGACUCUAAUUCACUUAGGUUUGGUCUAUCAUGUCCUUUUGACAAUUCACAUCUAUCAGAUCCACGAGGGAUCCUUCGUCUCUGGUCUCUGUUUCCCCUCUGUCCUUCUCAUAUAGCCGCCGCCAAAAUCUUUGUCUGCCUCCUUUGCAUUUCCACCUGCCUCCUUUGCAUUUCUUCCUGUCUUUUCUGUAAUUCCUCCUGUCUCUCCUCCUGUCUUUUCUGCAUCUCUUCUUCUUUCCUUUGUCUUUCUUCCUCCUUUUCUUCAUCUCUACGUACGUACACUCUCUGAGCUUCCCUUAGCAACUCAUCCAAACCCUUAACCUGCCAAUCGUCACUCUUUUCUAACUUCCUCCGAAUAUCCUCCCACGAUCCCUGCACAAACCGCAUCUUAAGCAUAGCUCCCCCCAUCACAUCAUCCAUUGGAUCCAAGCCAGAAUAAAGCUGAAAGCUUUUUCUUAAUCUUUCCAGCCAAUCCGUAGGUGAUUCAUCUUUUUUCUGAUAUUCUUUAAAGGCUUUAUCUAUAUUCUGUCCUCUAGGGACUGCUUCCCUUAUACCCUGGACUAUGAUGGUCCUUAAAUCAGCCAUGUGAGCUCUAUCAGCCGCUGUCUGGUUAUCCCAGUUAGGUCUCUGAAGAGGCCAUUUAGUAUCGGCAGCUGGACCCUGCCGGUGUGUCUGGUCCCAGUGCCUCAUUCCUGCUGUUCUAAUCAUUCCUCGUUCUUCUACUGUAAAUAAGAUUCCUAAAAUCGCUUGCAUCUCAUCCCAGGUAUAUAUAUUUGGCCCUAGACACUGGUCAAAUCUUUCAGAUACUCCUAUAGGGUCUUCUAACAAUUUCCCCAUCUCCUUUUUAAACUCCCUCACAUCCUCUGAACUUAAAGGAACAGACACAAACCCUAGCCCAGCAUCUUGUCCUCCCAUUGCAAUCUCCCUUAAAGGAUAUAACUGACCUUCCAUCUUUUGUUUUUCCCUGGUUUGGCUUCUCAUUACUCUCCUGCUAUCAGCCGGUGAGGGGGGUGAGAGGUUCUCUAAUGAAGGGGGUACUGAUUCUGUUGGGGCAGAGGGCUGAAACAUUGGUUCUGGAAUGGGUGCAGGUGGUGGAGGGGGUGGGAUAUAUGGUGGAGGGUAUCUUUGGAAAUCCUCCAGAUCCCAGUUAUUCUUUUUCUGCUUUUUUGUUUCCUUUAAAGGAAACAAAUAAUUUCUAGUAUCUGAUUUGAUCCGUAAUCUAGCAUACUCGCUUUCUUCUGCACAAAACGGCUCUUUGUUAUUUACACACAGAUUUAAAGCCCGACAUAUCCAGUCUUCAAAUGAACCAUAUACUGGCCAAUACAAAUGAUCCUGUCUUAUUUGCUGCCCCCCCCAUACCUCCAUACAAUAAUGCACCAUCUUUUCUCUCGACUUUCCUUCUGUGGAGGGAUAUUCAUUCCAAUACCUAAUCAUAACUCCCAAAGGACUAUCUGGAGGUAUGCUCGGUAGCCUUGCCACUAGCUCAUUUUCAAACUUUCUCCUAUCCUGCGGGGUAUCCUGUAGCUUUUCUUUAGGAUCUCCUAUUCCAACUCCCUCCCUAGGUUUCUCUUCAGUCUUAAGACUGUCCUGAACUGUUUUACAGCCACCCAUGGGAGCAGAAGAUUCACUUUUCUUCUAUCCCAUCUUCCGGAAUGCCUUCACACACACCCACACCACUUGCUUCCCUCCUUUUGUGACUCGCUCCCUCGCAGGAAUACAAGAACUGCACUACUAGGAGGCCCACAAUCGCUUCGUCCCACUGGAUGUCUCAGCCAUUCACACUCCGGGAUCCCCUCCCAACCGAAAGGGGCCGCAAAUACUUACCCUCCUCAGGAUUUCUGCUUCCCAAAGCUUGGGCGGAUGGAGGAGGAGGC